GUCAGUUGUUCUCUCUCUAAGAAUCUACUCUUCUGACAACAAGAAACCUCAUUUUCCCUGAUGUCUCCAUUGCGUUCCUUCGCUUGCGAUCUCCUUUACACAGAAAGAGGCAGAGCCCAGGCCCAGCAACACAGUGCUUCUGCACCUCGCACAGCAGGACUUUCAAAACCUGCAAAUGAAGAGCAUUGGAAAACAAGACUUGCUUUAGUGAGAAAGUGGCCUCACUCUGCUGAUAAUUAUCUACUUCCAAAUAGUGUUACCAGGACAGCAGAAACAUGAACCUUCUUGCCAAUGGAAAUCACUUUCUCCUGCUUUCCCUCCAUCUCGGCUUGAAAUGUUUAGUAAUGCACAGGAAAUGUGCUAAGUGAGACCUGCAAACGUGGGCUUCCAAGAUCCAAGCUAAUUACGUGCUAAGCAAUCUGUGGCGGUGGCAGCAGUGCCAAGGAGCCAGAAAGGAUGUUGAAGUAGGAUGCCUUUCAGGGCCUCCCUUUUCCCCUCCUAUUUACAUCUUAAUCUCCCCUACCCAACACAUUUUCCCUCUCUCAAGAAAGAACACGUAUCCACGUCUCCUUAGCAAAAACCAAUAAACAAACAAGAAGAGGCAACUAAAACACCAGACCCACAUCUUGAAGGAAAGGAAACCACUGAGAGUGAAAAAUGGCUGUAGCCCCUCUCUGUCCACAUGUCUGACCUGUCUUCUAGUUGAGUGUGAUGGAGCUGCAUGAGAUUCAAGCCCAUUGUUAAUCUUGGGCAACACAAAGCAUUUUUUUAAGGCAGAUAGUGCUAUUGCAGAGUUUAAUGGCUAAUGUGUUUGUGAACUACCAGCCUGUUGCUCAUCCAUGUUGUGUCAAUUUUUGGAGAAUGAUUAAGGCUAAGCAUUAAAGGAUGCCCAUGAGAAGUGUGGAGAGAGACCCAGAUUGCUCCACUUUCUGUACUUCAUCUACUGGGUAAAUGUGUGCAAAUUGUGAAACUUCAAGAGACAUAGUUCCUUACCUAUAGAAUAAAGUGGUUGGGGAGAACUAUAGAAGGCCACUUGUAACUCCUUGAUGCUUUGCCUAAUUCAUUC